UACGAAGGGGGCUAGCGUUGCUCGGAAUUACUGGGCGUAAAGGGCGCGUAGGCGGGUGUUUAAGUCAGAGGUCAAAUCCCAGGGCUCAACCCUGGAACUGCCUUUGAUACUGGGCACCUAGAGUUCGGGAGAGGUGUGUGGAACUCCGAGUGUAGAGGUGAAAUUCGUAGAUAUUCGGAGGAACACCAGUGGCGAAGGCGACACACUGGCCCGAUACUGACGCUGAGGCGCGAAAGCGUGGGGAGCAAACAGG
rnacentral:rRNA from 1 species